UCAGGUUGAUAUUCCUGUACCACCUCCUCACCAUUUGAGCAAUGGGGGGACGCAGGAGGAUAGGGUAAGCGCGGUAUUGGAUAUCCGCGUCCAAGCAGUUAGGCUGGGAAAUAGGCAAAUCCGUUUCCCAUAAGGCUGAGCUGUGAUGGCGAGCGAAAUAUAGUAGCGAAGUUCCUGAUUCCACACUGCCAAGAAAAGCCUCUAGCGAGGUGAGAGGUGCCCGUACCGCAAACCGUCACAGGUAGGCGAGGAGAGAAUCCUAAGGUGAUCGAGAGAACUCUCGUUAAGGAACUCGGCAAAAUGACCCCGUAACUUCGGGAGAAGGGGUGCUCUGUUAGGGUGCAAGCCCGAGAGAGCCGCAGUGAAUAGGCCCAGGCGACUGUUUAGCAAAAACACAGGUCUCUGCGAAGCCGUAAGGCGAAGUAUAGGGGCUGACGCCUGCCCGGUGCUGGAAGGUUAAGAGGAGCGCUUAGCGUAAGCGAAGGUGCGAAUUGAAGCCCCAGUAAACGGCGGCCGUAACGAUAACGGUCCUAAGGUAGCGAAAUUCCUUGUCGGGUAAGUUCCGACCCGCACGAAAGGCGCAACGAUCUGGGCACUGUCUCAACGAGAGACUCGGUGAAAUUAUAGUACCUGUGAAGAUGCAGGUUACCCGCGACAGGACGGAAAGACCCCGUGGAGCUUUACUGCAGCCUGAUAUUGAAUGUUGGUACAGCUUGUACAGGAUAGGUAGGAGCCUUGGAAACCGGAGCGCCAGCUUCGGUGGAGGCAUCGGUGGGAUACUACCCUGGCUGUAUUGACCUUCUAACCCGCCGCCCUUAUCGGGCGGGGAGACAGUGUCAGGUGGGCAGUUUGACUGGGGCGGUCGCCUCCUAAAAGGUAACGGAGGCGCCCAAAGGUUCCCUCAGAAUGGUUGGAAAUCAUUCGCAGAGUGUAAAGGCACAAGGGAGCUUGACUGCGAGACCUACAAGUCGAGCAGGGACGAAAGUCGGGCUUAGUGAUCCGGUGGUUCCGCAUGGAAGGGCCAUCGCUCAACGGAUAAAAGCUACCCCGGGGAUAACAGGCUUAUCUCCCCCAAGAGUCCACAUCGACGGGGAGGUUUGGCACCUCGAUGUCGGCUCAUCGCAUCCUGGGGCUGUAGUCGGUCCCAAGGGUUGGGCUGUUCGCCCAUUAAAGCGGUACGCGAGCUGGGUUCAGAACGUCGUGAGACAGUUCGGUCCCUAUCCGUCGCGGGCGCAGGAAAUUUGAGAGGAGCUGUCCUUAGUACGAGAGGACCGGGAUGGACGCACCGCUGGUGUACCAGUUGUUCUGCCAAGGGCAUCGCUGGGUAGCUAUGUGCGGACGGGAUAAGUGCUGAAAGCAUCUAAGCAUGAAGCCCCCCUCAAGAUGAGAUUUCCCAUUCCGCAAGGAAGUAAGAUCCCUGAAAGAUGAUCAGGUUGAUAGGUCUGAGGUGGAAGUGUGGCAACACAUGGAGCUGACAGAUACUAAUCGAUCGAGGACUUAACC
rnacentral:rRNA from 1 species